rnacentral:rRNA from 1 species
AUGCACCAGGAAGAGAUGUGGAUGAAGCAGCAUUCACGUGUCCGUUGGUUACGUGAAGGAGAUCGCAAUACUUCCUACUUUCAAGCACAAGCAGUAGUGAGAAAACGCAUAAAUAGAAUCGCCGGUCUCAGGCACCAGGACGGCUCGGUUUGUGCAACAGAAAGAGAGGACAAGGAAGAGGUGCAAGCUUUUUACCAGAACUUGUUUGAGUCCCAAGGUUUUCAUGAUGUUAAUAAUUUGUUGAACUCUGUUCCGGUGAAAGUAACACAGGCUAUGAAUGAUCUUCUUAAUAAACCAUAUGAUGCAAUCGAGGUGAGGGAGGCUCUAUUCCAAAUGGCAGCCUCCAAAGCCCCGGACAUUGAUGGGUUUACAGCGGGUUUUUAUCAACAUCACUGGAGUGUUAUCCAGGAGGACGUGACACGAGCAGUACUGGAAUUUCUGAAUGGGAGUGACAUGCCUACCGGACUUAAUGAUACUUCGAUAACUCUUAUUCCAAAGGUACGGCAUCCACAGACAAUUCUUCAAUACCGCCCUAUAGCUCUCUGUCCGGUUCUGUAUAAGAUUGCUGCCAAGGCAAUCACUAAUCGCAUGCGGAGUAUUAUGGAUGAAAUUAUUAGUGAAGAACAGAGUGCCUUUGUUCCUGGACGCUUGAUCACCGACAACGUGUUAGUUGCAUACGAAAGUGUGCACACAAUGAAGCGGAUGAAGAAGGGGAAGAAUUAUUCCUGUGCGCUUAAGCUUGACAUGAUGAAAGCGUACGAUAGAGUCGAAUGGCACUACUUGGAGGCCAUCAUGUUGAGAUUGGGGUUCUCUAUGAGCUUUACUAGGCUCAUUAUGAAGUGUGUAUCUUCUGUCAGAUUCUCGAUUAGGGUCAAUGGGGAGCUUCUCCCUUUCUUCACCCCUUCAAAAGGUUUGCGGCAGGGAGAUCUCGUAUCACCAUAUUUAUUUCUAAUUUGUGCAGAGGGCUUAUCUUCCUUGAUCAAGUCAUAUGAUGGGGGCUAUAUUGACAGGGGGAUCAGAGCUAGCUUCAGAUCACCUUGGGUCAGUCAUUUACUGUUUGCAGAUGACAGUCUUAUAUUCAUCAGUGCAAGUGGACAAAGUGCGGACAGAUUGAAUACAAUUCUGGAGACUUAUGGUAAUGCCUCUGGACAGAGGGUUAACAGAGACAAAAGCGCAAUUUAUUUCAGUACAAACACCCCAGAUUCGGUGCGGCAAACAAUCAAGGCGAUGCUGGACAUUCAGGUUGAGGCUUUUAGCGAGCGGUACCUGGGUCUUCCUACUGCUGUGGGGCGGAUCACAAGUGAAACUUUCGACCACAUUGGUGACAGGGCUUGA